rnacentral:rRNA from 1 species
CGGAGGAUCCAAGCGUUAUCCGGAAUCAUUGGGUUUAAAGGGUCCGUAGGCGGUUUAGUAAGUCAGUGGUGAAAGCCCAUCGCUCAACGGUGGAACGGCCAUUGAUACUGCUAGACUUGAAUUAUUAGGAAGUAACUAGAAUAUGUAGUGUAGCGGUGAAAUGCUUAGAGAUUACAUGGAAUACCAAUUGCGAAGGCAGGUUACUACUAAUGGAUUGACGCUGAUGGACGAAAGCGUGGGUAGCGAACAGGAUUAGAUACCCUGGUAGUCCACGCCGUAAACGAUGGAUACUAGCUGUUGGGGGCAACUUCAGUGGCUAAGCGAAAGUGAUAAGUAUCCCACCUGGGGAGUACGUUCGCAAAAAUG